UAGCUCAGUGGCACAGCAUCUGCCUCUCAAGCACAAGGUCCUGAGUUCAAUCCUCAG
rnacentral:tRNA from 1 species